AUAUCAAUAAGCGGAGGAAAAGAAACCAACAGGGAUUGCCCUAGUAACGGCGAGUGAAGCGGCAACAGCUCAAAUUUGAAAUCUGGCGCUUGCGUCCGAGUUGUAAUUUGUAGAGGAUGCUUUUGGCGCGGUGCCUUCCGAGUUCCCUGGAACGGGACGCCAUAGAGGGUGAGAGCCCCGUACGGUUGGACACUAAGCCUCUGUAAAGCUCCUUCGACGAGUCGAGUAGUUUGGGAAUGCUGCUCUAAAUGGGAGGUAAAUUUCUUCUAAAGCUAAAUACCGGCCAGAGACCGAUAGCGCACAAGUAGAGUGAUCGAAAGAUGAAAAGCACUUUGAAAAGAGGGUUAAAUAGCACGUGAAAUUGUUAAAAGGGAAGGGUUUAUGACCAGACUUGUGCCUGGCGGAUCAUCCGGUGUUCUCACCGGUGCACUUCGCCUGGUUCAGGCCAGCAUCGGUUUCUGUAGGGGGAUAAAGGCUCUGGGAAUGUGGCUCCCUCCGGGGAGUGUUAUAGCCCGCUGCGUAAUACCCUUACGGGGACCGAGGUUCGCGCUUCUGCAAGGAUGCUGGCGUAAUGGUCAUUAACCACCCGUCUUGAAACACGGACCAAGGAGUCGAACAUUUGUGCGAGUGUUUGGGUGUUAAACCCUCACGCGUAAUGAAAGUGAACGGAGGUGAGAGCCUUUUGGCGCAUCAUCGACCGAUCCUGAUGUCUUCGGAUGGAUUUGAGUAAGAGCAUAAAUGUCCGGACCCGAAAGAUGGUGAACUAUGCGUGGAUAGGGUGAAGCCAGAGGAAACUCUGGUGGAGGCUCGCAGCGGUUCUGACGUGCAAAUCGAUCGUCAAAUCUGCGCAUGGGGGCGAAAGACUAAUCGAACCAUCUAGUAGCUGGUUACCGCCGAAGUUUCCCUCAGGAUAGCAGUGUUGUUCUUCAGUUUUAUGAGGUAAAGCGAAUGAUUAGGGACUCGGGGGCGCCUUUUAGCCUUCAUCCAUUCUCAAACUUUAAAUAUGUAAGAAGCCCUUGUUGCUUAGUUGAACGUGGGCAUUCGAAUGUACCAACACUAGUGGGCCAUUUUUGGUAAGCAGAACUGGCGAUGCGGGAUGAACCGAACGCGGGGUUAAGGUGCCAGAGUGGACGCUCAUCAGACACCACAAAAGGCGUUAGUACAUCUUGACAGCAGGACGGUGGCCAUGGAAGUCGGAAUCCGCUAAGGACUGUGUAACAACUCACCUGCCGAAUGUACUAGCCCUGAAAAUGGAUGGCGCUCAAGCGUCUCACCCAUACCUCGCCCUUAGGGUAGAAACGAUGCCCUAAGGAGUAGGCGGCCGUGGGGGUCAGUGACGAAGCCUAGGGCGUGAGCCCGGGUCGAACGGCCUCUAGUG
rnacentral:rRNA from 1 species